CGUGCCGGUGCUGCGUGCGCAGGCAGGGCAGUGCUUUUACGCCAGGCCGGAAAGCAGCGCGCCCUCAGUGACCAUCGCGGUUCCGGCCAGCCAUGGGGAGGAUCGGGUUGCAGCUCAAGGCCACCCUGGAGAACGUGACACACCUACGGCCCGUGGGUGACGACUUCCGCUGGUACCUCAAGAUGAAAUGCGGCAAUUGCGGGGAGGUGUCGGAGAAGUGGCAGUAUCUCCGGCUGAUGGACAGUGUUCCCCUGAAGGGGGGCCGGGGCUCUGCAACGAUGGUGCAGAAAUGCAAGCUCUGCUCCCGGGACAAUUCCAUUGAUAUUCUGAGCAACAGCAUCAAGCCGUACAACGCUGAAGACAGUGAGAAGUUCAAAACAAUCGUGGAGUUUGAAUGUCGGGGCCUGGAGCCAGUGGACUUUCAACCCCAGGCUGGCUUUGCUGCCGAGGGCGCAGAGACCGGGACGACUUUCAGUGACAUCAAUCUGCUUGAAAAGGACUGGACAGACUAUGAUGAAAAAGCCCAGGAGUCGGUGGGAAUCUUUGAGGUCACUCAUCAGUUUGUGAAAUGCUGAAAGAAACUGCCUCUGGCCGCCAUGACCACCGUGCACAGGUCGGCCUGUGGCCCGGCCUGGCCCAGCCUGUCAUUGUAGCUUCCCGGCUGCAACAAUAAAGACCAGGAAGCUGAAGCCCAGAGGAAUGAAGUGCCAAGCUGGGGCUGAGCCCCAGCUCUUGGAUUCCCAGCCACCAUCCUCUACCCACAGUAUCCCAUGGGGGCACUUUUUUUUUUUUAAAUAAAGAAAACAAUGGGAAAAUAGGA